AACGCACGAGACCUGCGGACCUGCGGAAGGAUCAUUAACGAGUUGCACUCCUUUUUGGAGCCAUCUCCACCCUUGCGUACCGACCGUUGCUUUGGCGGGCCGGGCUUUCCCGCCGGCCAGCUGGCGAGCGCCCGCCAAAGACUUUACACUCGUUUACAAGCGUCUGAGCGAGAUGAAUGCAAAAAACUUUUAACAACGGAUCUCU
rnacentral:misc_RNA from 1 species